rnacentral:lncRNA from 1 species
UCACUUUCCUGAGUUUCAUAACUCUGUCUCCCGUAACUCGGGGCCUCAUGCUCAGUCCUCUCUGACCUCCCACCAUAUCCACCAGACUCAUAUUCCGAGGUGGGCUUCCUCUCAUACCCAGAUCCAUACUCUUCUGACUCCGUUUUUCGCCCAUACCCAGAUUCAGAUCCAUACACUUGCUGAUCAUAUUCACUCUUCCUCCCAUACCCAGAUCCGAACUCCGAACUAGGCUGCUCAUUUUCACUCUUUCGUCCAUAUCCGGAUCCAUACUCGGAACUGGGCUGCUCAUACUCGUUCUUUCGCUCGUACCCAGACUCAUAUUCCGAGGUGGGAUUCCUCCCAUACCCAGAUCCGUACUCCGAACUAGGCUGCUCAUUUUCACUCUUUCGCCCAUAUCCGGAUCCAUACUCGGAACUGGGCUGCUCAUACUCGUUCUUUCGCUCGUACCCAGACUCAUAUUCGGAACU